rnacentral:rRNA from 1 species
GGAAUAUUGGACAAUAGGCGCAAGCCUGAUCCAGCAAUGCCGCGUGUGUGAAGAAGGCCUGCGGGUUGUAAAGCACUUUCGGUGGGGAGGAAGGCCUAGGUUUUAAUAGAGCCUAGGAUUGACGUUACCCACAGAAGAAGCACCGGCUAACUCUGUGCCAGCAGCCGCGGUAAUACAGAGGGUGCGAGCGUUAAUCGGAAUUACUGGGCGUAAAGGGUGCGUAGGUGGUUAAUUAAGUUAGAUGUGAAAUCCCUGGGCUUAACCUAGGAAUGGCAUUUAAUACUGAUUAGCUAGAGUUUGGGAGAGGGAAGUGGAAUUUCCGGUGUAGCGGUGAAAUGCGUAGAUAUCGGAAGGAACAUCGGUGGCGAAGGCGGCUUCCUGGCCCGAUACUGACACUGAGGCACGAAAGCGUGGGGAGCAAAC